rnacentral:rRNA from 1 species
UGGGUAACCUGCCUCAUGCAGGGGGAUAACAGUCAGAAAUGGCUGCUAAUACCGCAUAAGCGCACAGAACCGCAUGGCUCCGGUGUGAAAAACUCCGGUGGUAUAAGAUGGACCCGCGUUGGAUUAGCUAGUUGGUGGGGUAACGGCCCACCAAGGCGACGAUCCAUAGCCGGCCUGAGAGGGUGAACGGCCACAUUGGGACUGAGACACGGCCCAGACUCCUACGGGAGGCAGCAGUAGGGAAUAUUGCACAAUGGGGGAAACCCUGAUGCAGCGACGCCGCGUGAAGGAAGAAGUAUCUCGGUAUGUAAACUUCUAUCAGCAGGGAAGAUAGUGACGGUACCUGACUAAGAAGCCCCGGCUAACUACGUGCCAGCAGCCGCGGUAAUACGUAGGGGGCAAGCGUUAUCCGGAUUUACUGGGUGUAAAGGGAGCGUAGACGGUCUGGCAAGUCUGAUGUGAAAGGCAUGGGCUCAACUCGUGGACUGCAUUGGAAACUGUCAAUUCUAGAGUGCCGGAGGGGUAAGCGGAAUUCCUAGUGUAGCGGUGAAAUGCGUAGAUAUUAGGAGGAACACCAGUGGCGAAGGCGGCUUACUG